rnacentral:lncRNA from 1 species
UGGGGUCACACAGAGUCGGACACGACUGAGGCGACUUAGCAGCAGCAGUAACAGCAGUAUGUCACCAAGGCAUCUCAGUACUCUCCAGAUCCAGGUGGACUCAUGCUGUCUGCAGCCUCCUGCCCAGCCAGGAAACAUGUAAUCCUAGUUCUCUUCCAGUGCCCACAUCUCAGUGAGCGGUACCCGUUUCUUGCUUCCACCAUCCUUGAGGCCAUCUCCCCCACAUUCAAUGACAAACUUACAGUGGAUUCUGCCUUGUCUUUUAAUUUCCUACAUCUCUUCAGAAAUGCAUCCAUUCCUUCCCAGCUUCACUGCUAUCACCUAAAUCAGGCUACUGAAAUAACCAACCAUCUGGUCUACCCCUAGUACAGUAUUGUGUAGUUGUUAGGUGUACGUUUUUUCAGCUACACAGCUUGGUUGGGAUCCUGGUUAUUUUUUCUGGGCUUUAGUUUCUUCCUAGUUAGCAUGAGGAUCACCAGAGUACCUGUCUUACUGGGUGCCUGUACUUCAUUUAAACGUGUGCCAGGCACAUAGUGACUCAAUCAGUAUGAGCUGUCAUUAAUAGUAUCUACUCCCUCCUCCCUCCCAUCUUUCGUUCCCUCUGCAGCCUGGGGAAUCACCUGAUUGCUCUGCCUAGAGCCCAUCAUGGCUCCCUAUCACACUUGAGAUAAAGACGAUGGCCUUUAAUCGAUCUGCCAGGAGUUGCUCCCUGUGGCCCUCACCCGCCUCCGUAACCUUCCCCAACCCCCACUCCCCUGACUCACCAGGUGUCACCCUCAAGCUUCCAGGCCUCUGUUCACUGGACACAAGUGAACACGGGGGCCUCUUUGCACUUGCAUUUUCUCAGAUUUCAGAAUCACCUUCCCUUCCUCUUUAUUGACAUAACUCCUACCCAUCAUACAUUUCUCAGCUCAAGCAUCACUUCCACGGGGAGGCCUUCUCUGAUAGCUCUUACUUGGCUCAUUUCCCUGUGGGAGGUUUUACUUCUUUGUGGGAUGUUUUUAGGGAUUUUUUUUGUCAAUGUGCCUGACCCCCCCCCCCAACCCACAUUGUGAGCCCCUUGAAGAGAGGGACUGGCAUGAUGCUUGUUGGGUAGCAAGCACUCAAUGUUACCUGCUAUAUGAGGGUUUAUGAGACAUGUUCUGUCUUCCAUCACUUUUGGCUCUUAACUCUUCCCUGCGAUCUCUCCACCAGCCUGCAGAUAGAGGAGUCAAGUAGGAACUCUUCCUUUCAGGCUGCUGUUUUCAAGUUACUGGCUCUCCAAGCUUUGGUUGGAGGGAAGAGAAGUGAUCAGUAGCAGAUGGCAUUUUACGGCUUCCUGUUCACAUCCACUAUCUUCAUAGACCCUCACGACGAUCUGGUAGCAUCACUGGUCUCCCUGUUUGAAAGUGAGCAAACAAGGCCCGUGGCAGGUUGAUUUAUCUUAGAUCAUACAAGAAAUGACUGGCCGAGCUCAGAUGAGAAGGAGGCCCUCGGA